AGCGCAGGUGAGGACACAGAGAGAGACCUAAGAGAGCUCAUGUGGCUGCAAUGGUAUUUUCCUAUCUCACCAACCAGAUACAUUACUUGUUAUCUUGUGGGGAGGAGCCAAAAGAAAAAUACUUCUGGCAGAGGAGAAGAGCUUAUAUUACGGGUCAACAGAAAUUCAGGGAGAGGAAGAAAUGGCUCACUGUCAUUGUCUCCAUGGUCUAUGAGGCCAGACUGGGAAAGAACCGCUCUCUAUUUUCCCAUCUCUUCAUCCAGUUGCUGAAGACUGAACUUGCUCUUGCUCCUUUCAGGCUGCGCUCUGGGCAUCAGCUCCACUCAUUUCUUCACCUGUCUCCAUGACAAUCUUGUUGGCUGGAAGAUGGAUGUUGAGGCAACUCUCCCUUGUGAGCCCAACUCACCGCCAUGGAUGUUGGUAGCUGAAGGCAGCAGAGCUGGUACCUGGAGGUUCUGGGAUGAAGAGAGAAAAGAGAAAGAGACCUGAGAGAAUGUUCCAGAAGUACUUAAGAUGGAACUGAGACCAGACCA
rnacentral:lncRNA from 1 species